UGUUGCUAGAGUAUAUGGACGAUAGAGUUUGUUCUGGGUGAUUACAGACAUUUCCACCUCUCAUCUUGGUCUGUUGUCU